GGGGAUUUAGCUCAGUGGUAGAGCGCUUGCCUAGCAAGCGCAAGUCCCUGAGUUCGGUCCUCAGCUCCA
rfam:Rattus norvegicus chromosome 2, whole genome shotgun sequence.